rnacentral:rRNA from 1 species
CGGCGGACGGGUGAGUAACACGUGGGUAACCUGCCUGUAAGACUGGGAUAACUCCGGGAAACCGGGGCUAAUACCGGAUGGUUGUUUGAACCGCAUGGUUCAGACAUAAAAGGUGGCUUCGGCUACCACUUACAGAUGGACCCGCGGCGCAUUAGCUAGUUGGUGAGGUAACGGCUCACCAAGGCGACGAUGCGUAGCCGACCUGAGAGGGUGAUCGGCCACACUGGGACUGAGACACGGCCCAGACUCCUACGGGAGGCAGCAGUAGGGAAUCUUCCGCAAUGGACGAAAGUCUGACGGAGCAACGCCGCGUGAGUGAUGAAGGUUUUCGGAUCGUAAAGCUCUGUUGUUAGGGAAGAACAAGUGCCGUUCAAAUAGGGCGGCACCUUGACGGUACCUAACCAGAAAGCCACGGCUAACUACGUGCCAGCAGCCGCGGUAAUACGUAGGUGGCAAGCGUUGUCCGGAAUUAUUGGGCGUAAAGGGCUCGCAGGCGGUUUCUUAAGUCUGAUGUGAAAGCCCCCGGCUCAACCGGGGAGGGUCAUUGGAAACUGGGGAACUUGAGUGCAGAAGAGGAGAGUGGAAUUCCACGUGUAGCGGUGAAAUGCGUAGAGAUGUGGAGGAACACCAGUGGCGAAGGCGACUCUCUGGUCUGUAACUGACGCUGAGGAGCGAAAGCGUGGGGAGCGAACAGGAUUAGAUACCCUGGUAGUCCACGCCGUAAACGAUGAGUGCUAAGUGUUAGGGGGUUUCCGCCCCUUAGUGCUGCAGCUAACGCAUUAAGCACUCCGCCUGGGGAGUACGGUCGCAAGACUGAAACUCAAAGGAAUUGACGGGGGCCCGCACAAGCGGUGGA